rnacentral:tRNA from 1 species
GCAAAAAUGCCAGAAUUGUUUAUGGGUUUGGUUUAGGACCACUUUAUGACUAUUAUGUCUUUUUGCU